rnacentral:rRNA from 1 species
CCUACGGGAGGCAGCAGUGAGGAAUAUUGGUCAAUGGCCGAGAGGCUGAACCAGCCAAGUCGCGUGAGGGAAGAAUGUCCUACGGAUUGUAAACCUCUUUUGUCAGGGAGCAAAGUCACCCACGUGUGGCUUUUUGUGAGUACCUUAAGAAAAAGCAUCGGCUAACUCCGUGCCAGCAGCCGCGGUAAUACGGAGGAUCCGAGCGUUAUCCGGAUUUAUUGGGUUUAAAGGGUGCGUAGGGGGGUUAUCAAGUCAGCGGUAAAAUCGUGGAGCUCAACGCCAGCCAGCAGUUGAAACUGAUGAUCUUGAGUAGGGGUGAGGUAGGCGGAAGGCGUGGUGUAGCGGUGAAAUGCAUAGAUAUCACGCAGAACUCCGAUUGCGAAGGCAGCAUACC